rnacentral:lncRNA from 1 species
GUGUGGCAGCUCAUAGGUCACCUUUGGAGCCAAGGUGAAGAAACGGAACUGCAGAGAGGUUAAGCCACCUGGGGCAGGAACUAGGAUGGAAAUCCAGGCAGUCUUGUUGCUGAGACCAUCUCCAUAAUCCUCUGCUAAACUUCUUCCUACCGAGAAAGACAUGUUCUGGGAGAGCAAGGGCUAAGAGGCUGCUCCUUGAUUCCCCCUGAGUGCCCGCCCUCCAGCCCUCACUCCAGUGAGGGGCCUGACCUGAAACAGCUGUCUGCCCUUGCCAGGCUCAGAGAGUCUCACACUGUCACCAGGCUGGCGUGUAGUGGCGCAAUCUCGGCUCACUGCAACUUCCACCUCCCGGAUUCAAGCAAUUCUUCUGCCUCAGCCUCCUGAGUAGCUGGGACUACAGAACAGAAGCUAAAGCAGAAAGAAGUUUAAUGGAGACCUGGAAGCCUCUCCGUAAAGACUCUGGGGCAGGAAUGGGAUCUGUUUGCAGGGCUCAGGGAGGACCCACGGCUCCUGUGGAGGCUUACGCGGCACCUGAGAAGUGAUCAGUCAGGAAGAGCUACCUGGAGUACCUGAGCCCAACCAGAUAUUCUUUUCCCCGCCGUCUUCCCCGGGAUCCAGCAAUUUAUAUUCCCUACCUCAGGAAAUCUUGGAAAAGUUAUUCCAGCAGAAUGAAGCAAUGUACUAUUCCAGCAGAACAUAGUCAGGACCUGGUGACGUGGGGGUUUGGCAAUGAUCAAUGACCCUGGUGUCAUACUCUAAAUUUGUUUCAAAAGUGGCAGCAGGGGAGAAGGAGGCAGUGAAAUCAAUACUUGAAGUUUGUCUUGAUUGGAUGGGGUGUGUGUUUUCUUUUCCACCCUAGUUGUUGUUGAAGCUGUUUACCAAAAGGCUGUGCAAAUAGGAUUAGUCAGCUCCAGGGCCAUUAAUAACCCGCUGGACAGAGCUGGCUCCAUUCCAAUUGAUUUUUGAAUUUUUGAAGCUGUCCAUUUUUUUGGAGCAGAGAUGAAAGCCCCAGAGGGGCUGGUAUGAAAGCAUGAGAUUUUUGCCUGUACUGGGGCUGAUCCCACAGAUGCAGGAGAUGAAACGUUCUUCCAGUGCCAUUUGCUUUCCAUCUGAAUGAGGCAGGUCCUGCGGCAGCUCUGAAGAGGCAGGGGCCAUCACAAACGAAUAUUGCAGCAGGUCAAGGGGACACUGCUAUUGUGUGCACACUGAUGGAGACCCAGAGUAAAACGUGGCCUGAGGUUUGCCAGAAUGUGCUUAAGAAGCAAACCUCACAUACCUGAAACUCUCUUCGUGCCCUCCUGUCCUUCCAAAAACUAUCAGUUCGAAUAUCCUGAGAAAUGUCACAUAGGUAAGCUGUAGGACCAUCCUUGAGAGGUUGCUGUUGGUAAAAACCAAUGGGGCCAGAAAACAUGAAUUUAUAUCCCAGCACUCUGGGCUAUAACUUUGAGCAAAUUAAUCUCUCUGAUAUUCUAUUAUAGCAAUUGUGAAUUGACAAUGUCAUCAUAGCCCAUUUCUUAUUUCUGAAAAAGUGCUUUUUCUGGAUCUCAUUCACUUAAGAACUCAAAUUCUAAACAUGGAGACCAUCAGAGCCAAGGUCCUU